AUGAACGCUAGCGACAGGCUUAACACAUGCAAGUCGAGGGGCAGCACAGGUAGCAAUACCGGGUGGCGACCGGCGCACGGGUGAGUAACGCGUAUGCAACUUGCCUAUCAGAGGGGGAUAACCCGGCGAAAGUCGGACUAAUACCGCAUGAAGCAGGGAUCCCGCAUGGGAAUAUUUGCUAAAGAUUCAUCGCUGAUAGAUAGGCAUGCGUUCCAUUAGGCAGUUGGCGGGGUAACGGCCCACCAAACCGACGAUGGAUAGGGGUUCUGAGAGGAAGGUCCCCCACAUUGGUACUGAGACACGGACCAAACUCCUACGGGAGGCAGCAGUGAGGAAUAUUGGUCAAUGGCCGAGAGGCUGAACCAGCCAAGUCGCGUGAGGGAUGAAGGUUCUAUGGAUCGUAAACCUCUUUUAUAAGGGAAUAAAGUGCGGGACGUGUCCCGUUUUGUAUGUACCUUAUGAAUAAGGAUCGGCUAACUCCGUGCCAGCAGCCGCGGUAAUACGGAGGAUCCGAGCGUUAUCCGGAUUUAUUGGGUUUAAAGGGUGCGUAGGCGGCCUUUUAAGUCAGCGGUGAAAGUCUGUGGCUCAACCAUAGAAUUGCCGUUGAAACUGGGGGGCUUGAGUAUGUUUGAGGCAGGCGGAAUGCGUGGUGUAGCGGUGAAAUGCAUAGAUAUCACGCAGAACCCCGAUUGCGAAGGCAGCCUGCCAAGCCAUGACUGACGCUGAUGCACGAAAGCGUGGGGAUCAAACAGGAUUAGAUACCCUGGUAGUCCACGCAGUAAACGAUGAUCACUAGCUGUUUGCGAUACACUGUAAGCGGCACAGCGAAAGCGUUAAGUGAUCCACCUGGGGAGUACGCCGGCAACGGUGAAACUCAAAGGAAUUGACGGGGGCCCGCACAAGCGGAGGAACAUGUGGUUUAAUUCGAUGAUACGCGAGGAACCUUACCCGGGUUUGAACGCAUUCGGACCGAGGUGGAAACACCUUUUCUAGCAAUAGCCGUUUGCGAGGUGCUGCAUGGUUGUCGUCAGCUCGUGCCGUGAGGUGUCGGCUUAAGUGCCAUAACGAGCGCAACCCUUGCCACUAGUUACUAACAGGUGAUGCUGAGGACUCUGGUGGGACUGCCAGCGUAAGCUGCGAGGAAGGCGGGGAUGACGUCAAAUCAGCACGGCCCUUACAUCCGGGGCGACACACGUGUUACAAUGGCGUGGACAAAGGGAGGCCACCUGGCGACAGGGAGCGAAUCCCCAAACCACGUCUCAGUUCGGAUCGGAGUCUGCAACCCGACUCCGUGAAGCUGGAUUCGCUAGUAAUCGCGCAUCAGCCAUGGCGCGGUGAAUACGUUCCCGGGCCUUGUACACACCGCCCGUCAAGCCAUGGGAGCCGGGGGUACCUGAAGUCCGUAACCGCGAGGAUCGGCCUAGGGUAAAACUGGUGACUGGGGCU
rnacentral:rRNA from 1 species